rnacentral:piRNA from 1 species
UGGAUGAGAAGCGUCAGGCAAGUAUGUGACU